GCAGUGGUAGUUCAGUGGUAGAAUUCUUGCCUUCUGUGCAAGGGACAAUUCCUGGCCCAUAGACCUCCUGCA
rnacentral:tRNA from 1 species